rnacentral:lncRNA from 1 species
UGAUGGUUCCGCCAAAAGCUGCUGUAGCAACCCCACCGUGGUAAGGAGAGGGACUCGACAACGGCCAUGGAAGGCUGCCUGUCCCAACCGCACUGAGAGGGGCUAGACCGCCCUGUCCAGCGGCGGUCCUCGCGGCUGGUUGCAGCCGCCACUCCCCCCAACCCUAACACCAAAUUGAUUUAAUUUAACCCUAGUCAUAACCUCAAAUUGAUUUUAUUUCAACUCAAUCCCA